UAUUCUUCUAUUGACAUUAGUAAUACUAAAUGACACAAUGAAAGAAUGAAGGAUUGAAGAUGAAGUAUAGCCUCACAAAAUAAUUUUAUUUAGUAAAUGAUUAUGAAUGUUAGUUAUUUUUCCCUUAGCAAGUUAGUUAUAAACACAAUUGAAAUUGCUUUAUAUAAGAAGCAACAAACCUCAGCAUAAUUCACACGAAUGAUUCAAAACUACCAUUGGAGCAUUCUUUUCACUUCUCUACUUAUAUUUCUCUAAUUCAAAUAGAAACUUCUAUGUCUAUGAAAUUCUAUAUGAUAUUAGAGCGUUCAAUUUGAAAGUUCUAAUUUCUACUGCAAAUUAUGUAAACAUCUUCCUUAAUCGAAGAAAUUUCAACACUCAAUUUUUCAAGAAAAUUUCAAGAAAUCAAGAAUGUCGAAUUAUCAAGGUUUUGUUUCUACAGAACAUGAAUUACAGAGUCCUAUUUACAGCAAUGAAGCUCAAAAUUCUGCUAGUCCUUACUAUCUUAAUUUAGGAGAGAAUCCUAGAGCGGUUCUCAUACCAUCCUUGUCGCGCCCCGGUUUUCGGUUGCACGACUUUGUUUAGAGUCGCCAUUACAUUUUAUAGUUAAAAAUGUAGAAAAAUCUUUAAAACCCAAUCACAUUAGGCUUUUGGAUUUUGAUAUCCAGGUUUGGGGGUUGGUUACAAAAUAGGAAAGAUAUUAGCACCCUAUCCACCCGCCUUAAGCUGUACCCUUCAUUAAAAUAUAUGACAUUAUUAUUAUUUAUUUAUUAAAUUGUCUGAUUAAUUAGUUACUUAUUAUGAAAAAAUAUUAUUUAUUUUCAUUAUUGAGCCUGACAAUAUUGAAUUUGGUCCUACGUAC
rnacentral:lncRNA from 1 species